rnacentral:rRNA from 1 species
AGAGUUUGAUCCUGGCUCAGAAUGAACGUUGGCGGCAUGGAUUAGGCAUGCAAGUCGAGCGAGAACCAGAUCUUCGGAUCUGGGGAAAGCGGCGAACGGCGUAGUAAUGCGUAGGAACGUACCCCUCGGUCGGGAAUAACCACGGGAAACUGUGGAUAAUGCCCGAUGACCUCUGAGGAGCAAAGGUGAGAUUCCGCUGGGGGAGCGGCCUACGUGAUAUUAGCUAGAUGGUGAGGUAAUGGCUCACCAUGGCAAUGAUGUCUAGGGGGUGUGAGAGCAUGGCCCCCACGACCGGAACUGAGACACUGUCCGGACACCUACGGGUGGCUGCAGUCGAGAAUCUUCGGCAAUGCGCGAAAGCGUGACCGAGCGAUGCCGCGUGGUGGAUGAAGGCCCUUGGGUUGUAAACACCUGUCAGAGGGGAUGAAAUCCUGGUUGGCUAUCCUUCCAGGUUGACAGAGCCUCAAAGGAAGCACGGGCUAAGUACGUGCCAGCAGCCGCGGUAACACGUACUGUGCGAACGUUAUUCGGAAUCACUGGGCUUAAAGGGUGCGUAGGCGGCGAAUCAAGUCAGGUGUGAAAGGCCUGAGCUCAACUGAGGCAUUGCGCUUGAAACUGAUUCGCUUGAGUAUUUCAGGGGUGUGCGGAACUGCCAGUGGAGCGGUGAAAUGUGUUGAUAUUGGCAGGAACACCGGAGGCGAAAGCGGCACACUGGGGAAUAACUGACGCUGAGGCACGAAAGCCAGGGUAGCGAACGGGAUUAGAUACCCCGGUAGUCCUGGCUGUAAACGAUGAGCACUGGGCGGAAGAAGGGUUACCUUUUUCUGCCGCAGCGAAAGCGUUAAGGUCUCCGCCUGGGGAGUAUGGUCGCAAGGCAA